rnacentral:rRNA from 1 species
CAAGGGGAGUGGCAGACGGGUGAGGAACACGUGGGAACAUACCUUUUGGUUCGGAAUAACUCAGGGAAACUUGAGCUAAUACCGGAUAAGCCCUAACGGGGAAAGAUUUAUCGCCGAAAGAUUGGCCCGCGUCCGAUUAGCUAGUUGGUGAGGUAAUGGCUCACAAAGGCGACGAUCGGUAGCUGGUCUGAGAGGAUGAUCAGCCACACUGGGACUGAGACACGGCCCAGACUCC